rnacentral:rRNA from 1 species
UGAGUUGGAUAUAGUGUGAAAGUACACGAGCGGCGGACGGCUGAGUAACGCGUAGGACGUACCCAAAGUGAGGGAUAAAGCACCGGAAACGGUGUCUAAUACCGCAUGUGAUCUUCGGAUUAAAGCUUUAUGCGCUUUGGGAGCGGCCUGCGUAAGAUUAGUUUGUUGGUGAGGUAAUGGCUCACCAAGACUACGAUCUUUAGCUGGUCUGAGAGGAUGAUCAGCCAGACUGGGACUGAGACACGGCCCAGACUCCUACGGGAGGCAGCAGUAGGGAAUUUCCACAAUGGACGAAAGUCUGAUGGAGCAACGCCGCGUGCAGGAUGAAGGCCUUCGGGUUGUAAACUGCUUUUAUCUGUGACGAUUAUGACGGUAGCAGAUGAAUAAGGAUCGGCUAACUCCGUG